GUGCAAUCAAGAAUUCACAAGGUGAGGAUUUCCUAACACCUCCAGUCGGCAGUGUCAUUUGGAUUAGGUCCUAAAUAUAGGAAAUUCCUACAGCGCAGGCAUCUAUGUGUUGGAAACUAUGUACAGCAAGUAAGAGACCAGCCCCACAGAGGCUCAGCCGGUCUGACAGCCUCCCGGAAAAAGACUUUCACAUUCAGGUACUGGAGUAGGGAGACAGAGCCAUGUCUACAGAAGAUGAUGGCUCGACAAAACAACCAGUGGAGCCAGCACCAGCUCAGCGCUGGAAACUCCAAGUAUUUUACCUCUGCUUUUAUGGCUUCAUGACCCAGCUCAGACCUGGAGAGAGCUUCAUCACCCCAUACUUGUUGGGAGCUGAUAAGAAUUUCACAAGAGAACAGGUGACUAAUGAGAUCACUCCAGUCCUGUCGUACUCCUACAUGGUGGUGCUGGUACCCAUCUUCCUGCUGACAGACUACCUGCGCUACAAGCCGGUGCUGAUGCUCCAGAGCCUGAGCUACAUCUCCAUUUGGCUGAUCCUGAUCUUCGGCACCACCAUCCUCACUAUGCAGUUCAUGGAGUUAUUCUAUAGCAUCACCAUGGCAGCCCGUGUGGCCUAUUCUUCUUACGUUUUCUCUCUGGUCACCCCAUCACUCUAUCAGCGCAUGGCUAGCUACUCCAGGUCUGCUGUGUUGAUGGGCGUCUUCACCAGCUCAGUGCUGGGGCAGCUCUGUGUCACAGUUGGUGGGGUGCCCUUCAUGACACUGAACUAUAUCUCCCUGGGCUUCACAGUCUUUGGGCUCUUCAUAACACUGUUCCUGGAGCGGCCUAGGCGGAGUCUCUUCUUCAACAGGGCUGAGCCAGUGUGUAAUAGCACUUCCCCUUCGGAGCUGGACAAGAUGAGCCCAGAUAACUACAAGCACACCACAUGCCUGCCUUCCUGCUGGCGUGAUGCUGCCCUCUGCCGCAUGCUGCGGGAGCUGGGGACCAUUGUCCAGCAGCCCCAGCUGCGGCUUUGGUCGUUCUGGUGGAUAUUCAACUCUGCCGGCUACUACCUAAUGCUGUAUUAUGUGCAGAUUUUGUGGGAUGUUGUUUAUCCAGCCAAAGAUAACCGGAAAGUCUACAAUGGCGGGGUGGAUGCUGCCUCAACAUUACUUGGUGCCAUUGCAUCCUUUGCUGCCGGCUUUGUGAAGAUCCGCUGGAAGCUGUGGUCAGAGCUGGUGAUCGGGACUGUGACAGCAGUCCAGGCAGGGCUUCUCCUGCUGAUGACCUCCACCAGUAACAUCUGGCUGUGCUAUGUGGCAUAUGUGCUGUUCAGGGGCUCCUAUCAGUUCCUGGUUCCCUUAGCAAUAUUCCAGAUUGCCACCUCCCUCUCCAAGGAGCUCUGUGCCCUCGUGUUUGGCAUCAACACCUUCUUUGCCACCAUUCUGAAGACCAUUAUAACCAUUAUCAUAGCAGAUAAGAGAGGCCUGGGCCUGUCUGUGCAUCCUCAGUUCUACGUGUACUUCUCCUACUUCACGCUGCUGGCAGUGCUGUACCUCACAGCAGCAGUGUAUGUGAGCAUCCAGCACAGAAGACGCAAGAAGCCCCAGGAGCCAGCAUUGGCCAAGGAGCUAUGCAAGCCUCUGGAUGAAGUGCCAGUGAAGGAGAAGACCUCAGAGCUGAGCAGUGUGGAAGCCUGAGAGAAGCUAUGAGUGAACAAAAGGGGAAGGGGCCUGUCUGUAUGUGCCCCGCCCUCACUGUUGCCCCAGGGAACCAUGUGUGCCCCACCAAGAUAUUUUUGCCUCCCUCUGAACAUCAGCACCCGGCAGGGAAGAUGAGGACCAGAGAGGCCUGGGUGACAGUGAAUGCCCUGCACAGGCUGCACCUGCACAAAGCCCACAGCCUGAUUGCCAGGGGCUGUCUCUCCAGGGAUGCCUGCACUCGCUUCACACCUCAGUGCUGGCUGACACUGCUAUACGGAGUGAAGGUUUAAAAACAGCUGUUGGUAACAGAGCUGUUUCCAACUGAACCAGCUGGGCUUCCAGGCCCUGGCUCAGAGCUGGUUUAGGCAGCUGCCUGCUGGGUAGAGGGAGCUUUCCUGGUGAUUUUUGCACCAGUAGACAGACAGACACACAUGCAGUGUCUUCCCCUCCCUGUCUCACGCUGCUCUUUCAGUGUGACCAGCCCCACACCCCCAGAUGAUUAUUUCAAUUUCAGCCAGUGCUGUUUUGUUGGAAUGACACUGGCACAGGUAUUUGUUAUAAGCCUUAAGCAGUCAUGCUCGCGAGGUCCUCUCCCCAGCACCACAAGUGCUAGCAGUACUUCUUUUUUAACUUUUCCCUUAACAUGUAUAAAUCCCCUGGCUGCCUUAGCCUCAUCCAAGUGCUACAAGGCAAGAGGGGCCUGUAGCCACAUAUCACCUGGGGUGAGGAUUGCAGUAAAGUGAUAAGUUGCCCUUGCAGACCUGGCUGUUUUUGUAGGUAGCUGGUGGUGGGAGUGCACAUGAGUGCUGAGGGCUGGCUUCUGCUGCUGGAAAGGCAGCGCUAACCCAGCGCCUCCCUUUGCUGGCUGCUCUGUGGCAUGAGUGCAAGAGCCUGGUGCUGCUUGUUGAACCUGGUCAGCAUGAGGGGCUUACAAGGCCCUGUGAUCCCGGGUUGGCUCUGGCCAGGUAUGGGAUUGUCCAACAGGCACGAUCCUUUCCACCUGUGUGUGGUGAGUAGCUGCUGUAAUUAAUCCCUUUGCGCAGGGGUUGGCAACCUUUUUCUCUGGGUCAUAGCUUGUGACCUGGCCUCCUGCUGUGGGCUGUAGAUCUCUGAUUUUCCCUCCAUCCUUACCUUGCUGCAGAUACCCAGCCCCUCUGUAGGGAGGGUAAGCAGAUAUGAAGGCAUGUGAGGGCAGCAGGGAGAGCAACAGAGGGAUCUGGUGCCUAAGCCACUAGGUUCUGGUCCAGGAGCUCAUUGGUUUUCCUUCCUGGUCUGUCUCUUUAGGUAAGACUGAGGCAGUGCCACCCUGAUUGUGGUACAGCUCUUUAUGUCACAAAGACACUAGUGUCUCUUGGUUGACUUCCCAUGCCCCCUUUCCCAAGCCCCAAUUCAAGCCCCAGGCAGGAGAGCCCUUGCAGUCAAAUUGCAUAAAGUGACUUGGAGACCCCCUAGGCCCCAGCUCUGAACCCAGAUGGGAGAUCCUGAGAUGCCAGGACCCCACUGUAAGCAAGGGGAACUCUAUCAGCCCUGGGCCUACUCCCAUCUCUGUCCUUAGCAGAGGGGAGGUGUCACCCCACCCAGGGUCCAUCCACAGCUAUGAGAGACGGUGUGGUACCAACAGCAAUUUCAGUGUACACAGAGUAAAAGAGGAUACUUUCCUUUAUUCAGUGCCUUUAGAAAGUGGUUUAUAGAACACAACUGACAAAAAAAUAUAAAGAUCCACAGGCUUUAAAUUGCAUUAAUUACAUAAAAUACAGUAGACAAUGAGAAAUAGAAAUUGUGUGACUUGCACAGCUUUUAUGGUAAUAAUUUCAAUACAAUAAUAAAAAGCUAGUUAAAAAUUUAGCACCUCAGAUUUUCAAAACUGAUUUAAACAAUCUUUUAGACAUUAGUGCUCAACAAAUACGGUACAUAUGUAACAUGAAAGUGUGUUCAAGGUUUCUGGCUUUGAAGGGGAGCAUUUUCCCAGCUCUGGUGCUAACACAGGAUGCCCAGACAGUGGCCAACACAGUCAGUCAGUCACACACACACACACACUUGUGCACACACACACACACCACUCACAACUGUUAACUAUGGGAUUCAGUGCCCUGUGCUGCUGAAUGGAAAUCAGGAUGUGUUCUCUACCCAAAUCCCCCAUACAGGUCAUAAUCCAUUAUAUUCUCUUGUCCUUUUCUGUUCCUAAGUACCUUACAAGUUAUUCGUUAAUCUGAUCACUUAAACUUACCAAACAAAUGGCCUCUCCAGCCCAAUGCUAAGGAAUCAGAUGAGGAAACUAUAUGCAGGUUUGGGAGUAGCCUGUUCCUGCGCUGGUAUGAAAUCUCCCAUUGCUCUUAAUUAUCCCCUCAUGACAAAGGCACAGACUACCCAGGAUGUGGCAUGUCCCUACCAGAGCACGGACAGCACAUAUGAAGCCUGGCUUAGCAGGUAUCUGACUGGAAGCCAUGAUGUGUAGGCCUUUUGGGAGCAAUUCUUACACUAGCAUUAGAAGAACAGCACAGUGCAUCCUGCCUGUGUAGACACAGCAAACAGCUGUGUGCGUCUUGAACAACAAAAUCAGGCCCUGCAACAGGGCAAGCAAGGCAUGUAGCACCAGCUCCAGUACACUUGGAUUCUGGAUGCUGGAAUUAGAGCUCAGAUGGGAUAGGGAGCAGCACCUGCCCUAGAGACCAUGCAUCUUCAACUACCAAGACAACUGUGCUCAGGACAGCAGGUAGGGGCUAGGGGAAGGGAACCAGAGCCCCUAGCUAUGGGACAAACCACCAGAGAGCAGAUUUUGUCUGGAUGCUGAUAGACUUGGAAACCUCCCCCUUGUGGAACAAGGGGGUGGAAUGGAUGGAGAAAGGAAAGCAUGAA